rnacentral:rRNA from 1 species
UUGACGGGACCCGCACAAGCAGCGGAGCAUGUGGUUUAAUUCGAAGCAACGCGAAGAACCUUACCAGAUCUUGACAUCCAAUUGACCAUCUUUUAAUCGAGAUUUUGCCUUCGGGUACAAUUGAGACAGGUGGUGCAUGGUUGUCGUCAGCUCGUGUCGUGAGAUGUUGGGUUAAGUCCCGCAACGAGCGCAACCCUUGUGUUUAGUUGCAAACAGGUCAAGCUGUGCACUCUAGACAGACUGCCGUGGACAACACGGAGGAAGGUGGGGAUGACGUCAAAUCAUCAUGCCCCUUAUGAUCUGGGCUACACACGUGCUACAAUGGCCGGUACAACGGGCAGCGAAGGAGCGAUCCGGAGCGAAUCCUAAAAAGCCGGCCCCAGUUCGGAUUGCAGGCUGAAACUCGCCUACAUGAAGUUGGAGUUGCUAGUAAUCGCGAAUCAGAAUGUCGCGGUGAAUGCGUUCCCGGGUCUU